ACGGCGAGUGAAGCGGGAUGAGCUCAAAUUUAAAAUCAGGCGCAAGCCCGAAUUGUAGUCUAUAGAGGCGCUAUUGGAAGCCGGACUCUGCUAAAGUCCCAUGGAAUUGGGUAUCAAAGAGGGUGAGAAUCCCGUCUAGGCAGGGAAUGGUGACCGUAAGAGGCGUUUUCAAAGAGUCGAGUUGUUUGGGAUUGCAGCUCAAAGUGGGUGGUAAACUCCAUCUAAAGCUAAAUAGAGGCAAGAGACCGAUAGCAAACAAGUACCGUGAGGGAAAGAUGAAAAGCACCUUGAAAAGGGAGUUAAAAGCGCGUGAAAUUGUUAAAAGGGAAACGCUUGGAGCCAGAGGGGCGAUUCAGUUCAAUGUUCUGUGGUGGAGGAGACGCAAGCCAUGGGAUGUGUAUUCUGGAACGUCUGGUCAGGGGUGAUUUGUGAGGCCGGAGAAGGGUGUCGGGAAGGUGGGCACUUGCCAUUGGUGAGUUGCUUUUAUAGACCGAUGCAGAUACGGGCUUAUGGAUUUCUAUAAGUGAUGGGGGUAUUGAGGUUGGGAGGAUUAGUGAUGAGGGGUUCAGGGACAAGCUUUGACUCUGUUCCCAGCGUCGGCAAGAAACCUAGCGUGUGCCUU
rnacentral:rRNA from 1 species